ACGCUCGACACCUACGGAGGCAGCAGUGGGGAAUAUUGCACAAUGGAGGAAACUCUGAUGCAGCGAUGCCGCGUGAGGGAAGAAGGUUUUCGGAUUGUAAACCUCUGUCUUUGGGGACGAUAAUGACGGUACCCAAGGAGGAAGCUCCGGCUAACUACGUGCCAACAGCCGCGGUAAUCUGAGCGGGCUGGCAAGGC
rnacentral:rRNA from 1 species